rnacentral:rRNA from 1 species
CAGACCUCUAAUCGGAAAAGACUACCCGCUGAGUUUAAGCAUAUCAAUAAGCGGGAGGAAC